UACAGAGGUCCCAAGCGUUGUUCGGAUUCAUUGGGCGUAAAGGGUGCGUAGGCGGCGCGGUAAGUCGGGUGUGAAAUCUCGGGGCUUAACUCCGAAACUGCAUUCGAUACUGCCGUGCUUGAGGACUGGAGAGGAGACUGGAAUUUACGGUGUAGCGGUGAAAUGCGUAGAUAUCGUAAGGAAGACCAGUGGCGAAGGCGGGUCUCUGGACAGUUCCUGACGCUGAGGCACGAAGGCCAGGGGAGCAAAACGGG
rnacentral:rRNA from 1 species